GCCCGCGUGUCGAAAUUGGUAUACGAUCUUGACUCAAAAUCAAGCGCCCUAAAGCAUGCCGGUUCGAGUCCGGCCGCGGGCACCA
rnacentral:tRNA from 1 species